GAUUUAUGAUGAUAUAGGACCUUGUCUGAUCAAAAUGAUUUUAAAAAAUGAGCUUAAAAUAACUCUGAAAUC
ensembl:snoRNA Snord107 small nucleolar RNA, C/D box 107